UAGGUCGGCUUUCUUCACAUUCGCCAUUUCAAUUCUCACCACCGCCGCUCAGACGACUCAUUGCGCACAGCCACCGGUCCGCUCGCCGCCACCAUUUCGCUCAGCCACCGCCCACCGCCAUGCCGCCCCGCACAGCCACGCCUUGCAGUUCGACGCUUUCUUCUUCGCGCUGCACAUCCUCCGCCGCACCGGUCCACUGCCGCUCCGCGCUGCCCAGCCUCCGCCGCACCGCGCUGCCCGGCCUUCGUCGCACCGCCUAGCUACAUUUUAAUUUUGUUUUUUAAUGGAUUUCGAAUUUUAGGAGUUAUUAGGUUAUAUAUUUUUUUGUGAAUUUUGAUGCUAUUGAAGCUGGAAGCCUAGUGAUUAUUGCUGAUUAGAGCUCUAAAUGGAGUUCUUUUGUCAAUUGUUCCCUCGAUCACAUUGAGUUGAUCUUUGGAUGUGGUUGUGAUAGAUUAGAUUCAUCAAAUUGUUUGGAUAGCUUGUUUGGUGAUGGAAAGUUCAAUUCAUUCUAUCCAAGCCUUCAGGUAUAUAUUUUGAAGAUUGUGAAGCUAAAAGAGAGAUCUGUGGUCACUCAACUUUUGAGUGGUUUUACUGGCAGAGGCAUGGCUUGUGGACAAGAUAAACAAUUCUAUUGGCCAAGAUCCUGAUUCCAACCUUUUAAUUGGGAUUCUGAUAUUUAUAGAUCUGAGAGUUU